UUUUUUUUUUCCUUUUUUUUUUUUUUAAUUCUGAAACAGACCUGUUUUGUACCGAGUUAUUUUUGGGAUAAAUUUUACCGGUUGCUGUUGUGGAGAAGGUGGCGUUUCCACCUUUUCCAUAAUAAAAUAGAAAUGUGUGUAGAACUGGAACUGUUUGAUUCGUCCCACUGUUGGAGUCCAAGCCUGGGCUAGGACUUUGGUGUCUGUCCAGCUGGUGGGGGGGAACCUGAGUUGGGGAUGGAGGGUGCAGCCCCAUCUGGUGUUGGACGCCUGACGCUGGCAUGGGUUGUGGGGGUGGUGGGGGGUCCCCACUCCUGGAGGGCCGAAGCUGCCUGCUUCCUUUCUCAUUCUCUUUCCUGCCUCACACCUAACGCCUUCCUCUCUAACUCACCAGGUGGGAGGACACCUUUGCCCGGAGCCACCUGUUGACCCUUGUGCCUGUGCCUCCAGGUGAGGGGAGGUUGGGGUGGGGCGGGCUGCCCUGUGUGCUGUCCACAGACUUCCCACAGCCAGAGCAUCUCUGGGCUAUUCCUUCCUUUCUGGUACUUUGGUUUUCAGAGAAACGUGGAUUCAGCAGUUUUGACUUUGUAGUGUAAUUCCUUUGUUUUUCUAUUUUUUUUUUUAACGUUGCCACAGAGCAAGGUAUGAGGAUUCUCUCUGAGUUGUGUAUUUGAUGAAGUGACUGGUGGAAGCUGUGACAAUCUGUCCAUUUAAGAGUGGGGCGGCUGGGCGUGGUGGCUUACACCUGUAAUCCCCAGCACUUUGGGAGGCUGAGGCAGGCGGAUCACCUGAGGUCAGGAGUUCAAGAGCAGCCUGACCAACAUGGCGAAAUCGCGUCACUACUAAAAAUACAAAAUUAGCUGGGUGUGGUGGCGCAUGCCUGUAAUCCCAGCUACUCGGGAGGCUGAGGCAAGAGAAUCGCCUGAACCGGGGAGGUGGAGGUUGCAGUGAGCUGAGAUUGUGCCAUUGCACUCCAGUCUGGGCAACAAGAGUAAAACUCCGUCUCAAAAAAGAGUGGGGCAACGCCUGAUACCUGUAAUCCCAGCACUUUGGGAGGUCAGGGCAGGAGGAUCUCCUGAGCCCAGAAGUUGGAGACCAGCCUAGGCAACAUGGCAACACCCCGUCUCUACUAAAAAUACAAAAAUUAGCUGGGUGUGGUGGCAUGCUCCUGUAGUCUCAGCUAGUCUAAAGGCUGAGGUGGGAGGAUCGCUUGAGCCCUGGAGGUCGAGGCUGCUGUGAGCCAUUAUCAUGCCGCUGCACUCCAAGCUGGGCAGUGGAGAGAGAGCCUUAUGCCCCCGAUGCUGGAUUGGUGACAGCACUUUGAGAAUGAGAUGGGAAGGGGGACAAGGAAGCUCCCGAGUUUUGCCUGAUGCCACUGUCCCACUGCUGGGAUGUACAGAAGACCAGGGCAGUGGGUAGUGGUAGUGGAGAGACAGACAGGAAUAUACGCCGCGUCUGCAGAAACCUUUCCCUGCACCAGCGGCUCCUGCGGGCACACAUCCCAGGCUAAGCUUGCUUCCAUGCUGGGAUGGACCUGGCUGAGUCAUGGGCAGGGGAGUGUGACUAAGGGUGGCCCUUUCACUGUUGGUCACAGAUGUCACUACAGGUCAGCAGCUGCCAUCUAAGCAGCUUGCCCCAUGCCAGCCAGGGCCACAGUGUAGAAACCCAGAUGAGCAGGAUGACUAAUCUUGGCCCUUCCAGAAGCCCAGUCUAACAGGAGAAAGGAUUACUAAGUACCUAGCUUUAGUUGCUGUGAAUGUGACAGGAAAAUGUCAUCAGUUCAGUGAGUUGGAAUCAGGUUAUCCCCAAGCAGGUGCCCUUGGCCUGGCCUCAGUGUUGGAGCAAGACCUGAGCAGGCUCAUGCCAGGCAGGGGGGCUGCUCUCUGGGGCCGUGCUAGGACUGGCUCCCUGCUGCUUAGGAAGUGGAGAGGGCACCUGGUGGACUGGUAUGAUCAGCCUCUGCAGGGUGUGACAAAUGCCAGGACUGACAGGCAGCGCUGCUUUGGUUGUGCA
ensembl:lncRNA